GUCUUUGACCACACCACUCUGAACAUACCCAAUCUUAUCUGAUUUUAGAGGCUAAGCAUGGCUUGGCCUGGUUAGUACUUGGAUGGGAGUUAUUAUUUUGACAUGUGUGCAGUCAGUCA
rnacentral:rRNA from 1 species